rnacentral:rRNA from 1 species
GAUGAACGCUGGCGGCGUGCCUAAUACAUGCAAGUCGAGCGAAAGGACGCGAAGCUUGCUUCUCUGACGUUAGCGGCGGACGGGUGUGUAACACGUGGAUACCCCACCUAUCAGACGGGGAUCACUUCGGGAAACCGGCGCUAAUACCGGAUAAUCUUUUGAACCGCGUGGUUCAAUAGUGAAAGACGGUGUUUCUGUCACUUCUAGCUGGUUCCGGGCUGUAUUAGCUAGUUGGUAAGGUAACGGCCUACCAAGGCGACUAUGCGUAGCCGACCUGUGAGCGUGAUCGGCCACACUGGAACUUAGACACGGUCCAGAGUCCUACGGGACGGAGCAGUAGGGAAUCUUACGCAAUAGGCGAGAGCCUGACGGAGUAACGCCGCGGGAGUGAUGAAGGUCUGCGGAUCGUAAAACCCUCUUAUUAGUGAAGAACAGAUGUGUAAGUAACUGUGCACUGCGUGACGGUACCGAAUCAGAAAGCCACGGCUAACUACGUG